GGUUUCAGCUGCUUGGAGGUGUGUCAGUUCAGGCUUCAGGGAGGCAGCAACAUUUGAUGUAAACAGAGGCUUGAAGGAUGAUCUUUAGGAGCUGGAGAAGGUGGCGUCUGUGAGUUCACUCAGGGUAUACCGUGUCACCAUGGGCUCUGGAGCCACCAGAAGGCAUGGAGUGGAUGACAGGAAGUCUUAGGCAAGUGAAUAAAGGUCUCCCCUAAGAUAAUGGGGCUUUCUGGGACAGGAUGGGAAGGACAGAUAGGCUUCUGGAAAGGGACUGCCCUGAGCUCUGGGCUCAGAAUGGCCUGUGUUUGCCCCAGCUCUGCCCAAGACCUAGAGAUAAAAACAAAAACAAAAACAAACAGGAGGCUGGGGGCACCUGGGUGGCUCAAUUGUUAAGCAUCUGACUUUGGCCCAGGUCUUGAUCUCACCAUUCUUGAGUUCAAGUUCCACAUCAGGGCUGCUGACAAAUUGGACAACAAACAGGUGGACAGAAUAGAAGAUGAAAAGUCUCCCUGGGGCCGAAGUCCAUUAUUGUGACUCAUCUUUUCAACGAUGAUUGGAUUUCAUCACAAAGUAGUUUUUUUUUUUUUUUUUCAGGACUUCUCUUGGACCCAUCUAUAAAAUGGAAACGCUAAUAGUUCCUCCUCGCAGGACUGCAGUGGAAAUGAAUUAAAUCAAUUCACAUAAGGUGUUUAGAACUGUGUAGUGUGUAGCUUAGCAUCCCCGAGCCUGGGCUUUCGGGGGUACCCUUAUACUAGUCUUUCGAAAGGCUGUGUUUUAACCAGCUAGUGAGGGGUUACUCCAGCAGGACCACUGUUGCAGGUUGGGGCCCCCAGGAAGCAGAGUCUGAUGCAGUUUAGCUUGCAAGGAGCUUAUUAGGGAGAGCCCUAAAGGUCAGCAGCUGUGGAAGGGAAGGGCCGGAGCAGAUGUGAGCAGAGAAAGCUACAGAGCAGACCCAAUCAGAGCCUUGGCCAGCCCCAUGGGGAGCUCCGGUGGCAGCUGACCUUGGGCAAGGCAGCUCUUUGCUGCUGAGCAGUGCCUCUGGGAGCUGGCAGGGGACGGCUGUCUGCAGGGCCGGCGGCCCCAGUAGCCAGGACAAUUCAUGGAAGGGGGUCUGGGCAGCACGUCACAGAGUCCACCACAAGCGCAGGUGGGGACACGGUGAGGCCAAUGUCGUAAGAGCUAUGACAGCAAGAGCCUCCUUAAAUUUGUGCUCUGGGUGUCUCAUUUGCCUCUCCUUCAUCCCAGGCCUGAUUAGUACCUGCCCUGUGAGAGGCAAAAAAAAAAAAAAAUCUUUGCACAGAAUAGCAACCUUACAGGGUUGAUGUGAUGAGACCGCAUGAAGUACCUGGGACAUGGCAGAAAUAAUUGAGAGCCGCUGUCCCCAUCCUCAUCAUCACUGUGCCAGCUCAGCUAAGUGUUCGACAGUCAUUGAUGAAUAAAUUAAAUGAACAGUCUGA